rnacentral:rRNA from 1 species
GACGAACGCUGGCGGCGUGCUUAACACAUGCAAGUCGAACGGUAAGGCCCUUCGGGGUACACGAGUGGCGAACGGGUGAGUAACACGUGGGUGAUCUGCCCUGCACUUCGGGAUAAGCCUGGGAAACUGGGUCUAAUACCGGAUAGGACCACUGCCUGCAUGGGUGGUGGUGGAAAGCUUUUGCGGUGUGGGAUGGGCCCGCGGCCUAUCAGCUUGUUGGUGGGGUGAUGGCCUACCAAGGCGACGACGGGUAGCCGGCCUGAGAGGGUGACCGGCCACACUGGGACUGAGAGACGGCCCAGCCCCCGACGGGAGGCAGCGGUGGGGAAUUUUGCACAAUGGGCGCAAGCCUGAGGCAGCGACGCCGCGUGAGGGAGGACGGCCUUCGGGUUGUAAACCUCUUUCAGCCCCGACGAAGCGCAAGUGCCGGUAGGUGCAGAAGAAGGCCCGGCCAACUACGUGCCAGCCGCCGCCGUAA